GGCAGAGCCCCGCGCGAGCUGCGGCCGCCCCCUGGAGCCCGCGGUGCGCGGAGAGCACGGGGCAGGCGCGCGUCGGGCGGCGCUGGCGGGGGCGAAACUUCGGGGCCAGGUGCCCGAGGGCGCGGCGGCGCUGACAAGCUGCCGCUGCUGCCCCUGCGGGUCCUGGGCGCGUCUCCGCGGGCGGCGCUGCCCACGGCGCGGCGUGUUCACCGAGCGAGUGAAGGUAUGUGUGGCGGGCGCGGCUGGAGCCGCCGCCGCCACCACCGCGCCAGCAGGUCCUAAUGCCUGUCACUUCCCAGGACACUGGCAGCAGUAUCCCGGAGCCCCCGAACCCUCGGCAGGUUGGCCUGUCCUCCCCCGCGAUCUGAUUGGAUAAAGUUGGGACUCGACGGUGGCCGACGUGGGACAGUCUGGCAGUGGCAGGGGUCUCGGAAACCAUGGGUUAUUGCAGUGGCAGGUGCACGCUUAUCUUUAUCUGUGGCAUGCAACUGGUUUGUGUGCUGGAGAGGCAAAUAUUUGACUUCCUCGGAUAUCAGUGGGCACCUAUCCUGGCAAAUUUCGUACAUAUUAUUAUCGUCAUUCUUGGUUUAUUUGGAACUAUUCAAUAUAGACCUCGUUACAUAACAGGAUAUGCUGUCUGGCUAGUCCUCUGGAUUACGUGGAAUGUGUUUAUUAUCUGUUUCUAUUUGGAAGCUGGGGAUCUCUCAAAGGAAACUGAUCUUAUCCUGACUUUUAAUAUAUCAAUGCAUCGAUCUUGGUGGAUGGAGAAUGGUCCAGGAUGUACGGUGACAUCAGUGACACCUGCCCCAGACUGGGCUCCAGAAGAUCAUCGCUAUAUCACUGUCUCAGAGUGUUUUCUGGAGUACCAGUACAUAGAAGUGGCUCAUAGUUCUCUCCAGAUUGCUCUCGCACUGGCAGGGUUCAUCUAUGCCUGUUAUGUUGUGAAAUGUAUAACUGAAGAAGAGGACAGCUUUGAUUUCAUAGGUGGCUUUGACUCUUAUGGCUAUCAAGGGCCUCAGAAGACAUCUCAUUUACAACUACAACCUAUGUACAUGCAAAUUCCCUUGGAUAACAACUGAUAACAAAUUCUAUAUAUCAGCAUCAAGUGAUAUGCUGAAUUGCAAGUGAAGAUCAAAAUAGAAAGUCAAAAUAAAACAGAUGGCUUCAGUAUAUCAGCUCCUGGACUUUUCAAAGAAUUUGUUUCCCAACGUUCUCCUGCAUUUAUGACAAGCAAGAAGAAACUGAGUUUAAAAAAUAUGCAUAUAUUAACAAAACAUACAUAAAGCCUCCAUGUAUACUGGAACAUGUGCGUGCGCACACACACACACACACACACACACACACACACACACACACACACACACACACACCACUUCCACUUGGCCUCCGCUUUCUAAAACAAAUACACAGGCCACUUCCAUCUUGGAUUUCCUGAAGGCUUCUUUCUCCCAAGUCUCUGGAAAUUCAUAAGGAGAUGUGUUGGUGCCCUCUGCUGACCCUAGCUAACUCCUCUGCAGUCCAGUGAGUGAGCUGCGAAGUCAUUCAGGGCACAAUAGUUUGAGAUUUUGUCUUCUGUACUCCAUAUGUCUUGAUAUAGCACCACGGCUAUGUAGGCAAUGUAACUGCAAAAACAAAGCAUGCCACUGAUGACCUAGUAACCCAAGUCAGAAAUGGCAGAUUGCCUGAAAGGCUGUACCGUACAUAUUUGCCUUAAUGUACCUAAGUUGAACAACCAAGAAUCUCAGUGCAGACAUCCCCAGAUCACUUCCUUUAGGCUCACACACUGCUAUUAAUUCCAAACGAGUUCAAGUCUGUGUGUUUCACGUGAAGGAACAAGACUGCUUUAGCCCAGCAGCUCUAAUGUGUCUGUAUAUGAAAACUGCCAACUGCCAGCAUAGUGCUUUACCAUUGAGCCUCCCUGGUGGCUAAAAAAAAAAUAUAUAUAGAGAGAGAGAGAGAGAAGUAAUGGUAACAAUAAUAACUGUCAUCUUAAUAAUUCUUAAGUGUGGUCUUCUAAUGGAGUUGGGUGAGACAGUAAAAUUUACUAAUCUACUAAAUUCAUUAACGUACUGGAAACCGAGAGCAGAAAGCAGAAAUGGCUUAACUCACUGAUUUUAUCGCACUCUAGGUGCUUUUAUAAGUAUCUACAAAUGUCUUUUAGUAACAACACAGAAAAAAAGCUGUGGACUUCUAUCUACAAAGGCCAACUGAAUAUGUAUUAGCUAUGUUUACUCUUUUAUAACUAAAUGAAAUUGAAGACCAGACGUAGGUGAACUUUUUUUCCUAACUUCAGCGUAUGAGAUUAUUUUUGGGGUGGGUGGGGGGAACAAUAGUUACCUUGGUGAAACAUUUGAGAUCUCUUUGUGGUAUUCGGGGGAUCUGUUGUGUGUUAGAGUGUAUUUAAAUCCUCCUGUAUUAUCGUGGCAGAAAAACUGUGCUGUUUAACGUAGUUGGCAACAAGAUGCCUUUGAAAACUUAAUAGUAGGUCAAUGUGUUCAUGGAAUACUCUGAAUUCCUAGGAAAUUUUAUUCUAUAUAUUCAAGCAUUAUUUGGUUUUCAUUAGUGGAAAACAUAACUAGCUAGGACUUGUCAGGAACUCAGAUGACUCAUAUAAUUUCUUAGAUCCACCUAACACAUUAAGAUAUCUUUAUUUUAACUAACCAUCUUUAAAUACAGUGAAAUUUAGGCUUGAAAAAGUAUAAAUUAGCAUGGAGAAACUUUUUCUUUUUGUUCCUAUGAAGUUGGGUUAACUUUCUUCGGUCCUUAGCCCAUCCAGAUCUGCAUUAUCAGACCCCAUUACUGUGUUUGCAUGGAUGUCUCUGAUACAAACACAUACAGUUAAAAAGGAAAAAAAGGUUACUAUUGGAGUAUAAACUACAAAAUAAGGAUCUGGCAUUUGUACUUAAAUUUUCCAGUCGCUUGUAUAUGUUUGUACAUAUAUACAAGUAUAAAAUGUAAAAUUGCAAACAUGUCAGUGAAGCCUCAUAUGAUGACUUUCUUGUAGUAUGCAUGUUCAUAUGAGAAAAAAUAUUUAUCAAUGUAUUGUCCUUUUGAUCUUAAAUUUCAGAUACUACACAUGCCUGAAGCUCCUCAAACAUGACUAUUAAUGUGAAUGUUAAAAAUGAGGUUUCACUGUACAUUUAUGCUGUUAUGAGAUUCCACCUUCUCAGAUAUGUAUAUGGAUAGAGAUUUCAGUGCCCUGAGAAUAAUUAGCCCUCAUAUUCCUGCUUUAAGUUGCAGACAAGUUACCACCUAAUCACAACUAUCAUUACCACGACAAUUUUCAAAAACAGUUGUUGACUACUAGGAAGUAAUCAGUGGACAGAUCCUUUUUGAAAGCAGUAAGCACAGUAGUGUGAUUAUAUCUGGGGAAAAAAACCAUCAAAGUUGUAAAGCUGUAUCCUCCUCAAAAUCCGGUGAAGAAUGCUAUUUUUCUAGGCUGAGCUUUUGUUAUAAACUUAAUAUUCAGAAGGCAAGAGUUACAAUCCUGAUGUGUCUCUCUCCUUUUUUUUUCUUUUUUUGCAUUUGUUAAUUAUGAAUGUAUUUUUAACAGAGUGAUUUUUUUGACUUACUGGUGUAAUUUGCAUUUUAAAAAUAAAUGGAAAAACUAUCAA